rnacentral:rRNA from 1 species
AACGAACGCUGGCGGCAGGCUUAACACAUGCAAGUCGAACGCCCCGCAAGGGGAGUGGCAGACGGGUGAGUAACGCGUGGGAAUGUGCCCCAAGGUACGGAACAACAGCGGGAAACUGCUGCUAAUACCGUAUGUGACCGAGAGGUGAAAGAUUUAUCGCCUUGGGAUCAGCCCGCGUUAGAUUAGGUAGUUGGCGGGGUAAUGGCCCACCAAGCCUACGAUCUAUAGCUGGUCUGAGAGGAUGAUCAGCCACACUGGGACUGAGACACGGCCCAGACUCCUACGGGAGGCAGCAGUGGGGAAUCUUGGACAAUGGGCGCAAGCCUGAUCCAGCCAUGCCGCGUGAAUGAUGAAGGCCUUAGGUUGUAAAGUUCUUUACGUCGGGGACGAGUAAUGACGGUACCCGAAGAAGAAGCCCGGC